GACGAACGCUGGCGGCGUGCUUAACACAUGCAAGUCGAACGGACAGGCCCUGCUUUUGUGGGGUGCUUGAGUGGCGAACGGGUGAGUAACACGUGAGUAACCUGCCCUUGACUUUGGGAUAACUUCAGGAGACUGGGGCUAAUACCGGAUAGGAGAUCCUGCAGCAUGUGGGGGGUAGGAAAGUGUCGGUGGUUGGGGCUGGAAUCGCGGCUUAUCAGCUUGUUGGUGGGGUAGUGGAUGACAAAGGCUUUGACGGGUAGCCUGCCUGGGAGGGUGGCCGGCCACAAUGGGCCUGCGGUACGGCCCAGACUCCUACGUGAGGCAGCAGUGGGGAACAUUGCACAAUGAGCGGAAGCCUGAUGCAGCAACGCCGCGUGCGUGAUGACGGCUUUCUGGUGGUAAACCGCUUUCGACGGUGACGAAGCGUUAGUGACGGUAAUGGGUAAAGAAGCACCGGCUAACUACGUG
rnacentral:rRNA from 1 species